CCCGCACAAGCAGCGGAGCGUGUGGUUUAAUUCGAUGCUACACGAAGAACCUUACCAGGGUUUGACAUACAAGUAGUAGGGAAGGAAACUGGACCGACCCUUCGGGGAGCCAUUUACAGGUGUUGCAUGGCUGUCGUCAGCUCGUGUCGUGAGAUGUUCGGUUAAGUCCGCUAACGAGCGCAACCCUCGCUGUGUGUUAUAUGUGUCACACAGGACUGCUGGUAUUAAGCCGGAGGAAGGUGGGACGACGUCAAGUCAGCAUGACCUUUAUAUCCAGGGCUACACACACGCUACAAUGGUCAGUACAAUGGGUUGCCAAGCCGCGAGGCGGAGCCAAUCCUAAAAAGCUGGCCUCAGUUCAGAUUGCAGUCUGAAACUCGACUGCAUGAAGUCGGAGUUGCUAGUAAACGCAGGUCAGCUAUACUGCGUUGAAUACGUUCCCGGGGCUU
rnacentral:rRNA from 1 species